UUCCAUUCCCCUCUCCUCUCACCCCUUCCUCUCCCUCCCCCCCGGUCUGGGGUGGGUUUCACGGCCGCCCCGCUGCAGCCAAUGCCGGUGUGUGGGUGUGAGUGCCAACGCCAAUGCCGGCCCCGUCCUCGCUUCUUCUCCUCCCCUCCCCGUCCCCCUGAGCCACGGGGCCUUCAUUCAAUCCGCAAGCAUGUGAAGGUUAUUAAUUCACCCUUCUCCUCACCACCAAUUAGGGCAACAGAGUGUCGGGAGCGGCGUGUGGAGCGGAUCCUGUGUUGCUGGUGGUGCCGGCGAGAGCGGAUCACCGCACAGUCAAAUCAAGGCAGGACAUUCGCAGUAAAUGGCAAGACCCCGGGGAAUGUUGCAGAGCAGAGAGAUCUCGGAGUUACAGGUACAUGUUGCUCUAAUAGUGACAUCACAAGUGGAAAGAGUGGUCUUAGUUUAGUUUAGAGACA